rnacentral:rRNA from 2 species
UUAGGCGGUUAUUGCGGCGGUGUCCCACCUCUUCCCAUUCCGAACAGAGAAGUUAAGCCCGCUUGCGCCGAUGGUACUGCAAUGCAAUGCGGGAGAGUAGGUGGCUGCCUUCU